rnacentral:lncRNA from 1 species
GGUAUAAACUCAUAUGAAGUUCUGUUUAGGAAAAGCUGACUUGUUAAGAUUCUUUUUAAUUAAAUAAAAAUUAAAGUGCAUUGAAACCACAUGGCUUGUGAUAAAGAAAAAUUAGUUACAAAGAACUGGUGUUGGUUAAAGAGAUGGAUGGAAUCCUAUUGGAAAUGAUUUGGCUUCAUUGUACUGGUCUAACAUACAAAUCCAGGAAUAGUUGAAGGAUAACCUAUUUUAAAUUGCAAAUAGCAGAGAAGAAAUAAAUGUGUUCAAACUUUGUGAUUAAAAUGAUAAACAGAAUACCCAUUAGAAUUCUCAGAACUAUUAGUCAUCUAGAGGGGUGGGGGCAUUUCUUGGUAUCAAAUAACUGGUUGAAGUUACUUUGGGCAAAAUAGAUCUCUUUCUUUACUUUCUGUUGUUGGAUAGCAAGAAAUGCCCAGAAUAAUAUCCAUUAUUCUUAUAAACAUUAUGACAAUUAGUUGACUUUUGCUCCAUGAGUUAACUUUUAAAAAAAUCUUAAUUCCAUUUGUAAUUAUGUUUGUAGUUACUGGUCUUUGUUGACAGCUGAAGACCACAGGAAUCAUUGAUCAGGCGAGUCACACAGUACUGACCCUUCUUUUACACUUUUAUAAUAGCAUUUAUACCAUAUGGCCCAGUGUGGAAUUCUUGAUUAUCCAAGUGCCUUUGGUCAUUGGUGGCAGCAAGACUUAAUGGUUUUUAGCCAGUGGUGCCACAGCCAGAUUUUACUGCAAUAUCUAAAGGGUCAAGUAGUGUUUUGUACCACUAUUUUUCAAAUUUAAGUAUUCUGCCAUGGAAUGAUUCAUACUGGCUAGAACUUGACAUACGAUAUCCUUAAUAUUAAGGCUUAUCUCUGCUUGGCAGCUUCUUAGGAGAAUUAUUUUAAUAAGAGUUGCAAUUUUGACUCUUGCGAUCUUAGAAUUCAAAUGCUAUUGCUUUCUGAAUUGAAAAUUUCAACUUUAAUAGUCCAUAAGUAGGAGUUUUGUGACUUUAAUUUCAGUGUACUUGUUUUGUAAAGAAAAAAAAAUUAUAUAUAUAAUAUGACUUUAUGCCAGUUUCCCAGUAUGCCUCGUAUUCUUUUAUUCACUACUCAAUGAAAAUGCAUUGUUACCGACACUGUCACACGAAUAAAUAAAAUGGAUAAUUACUUAGAUGAUGAAGAGUGUUAAAUUAUAUCUUUGUGAAAGGAAGCUUAUAUAUAUUCUUUUGGUUAUUAGCUUCCAUUGCCAAUCGUAUUUCAGAUACAGUAGAGUUUUCUCCUCCCUCCCCCUGCUACUGAAUUGUUACCAUUUUUUUAGCAAACUAGCCCCUGAGGAAAAAAAUAUGUAUUUGUACCACUCACUAUUGUAUAUAGUUUUAUAAUAAAUUCAAUGGCCAUAUUAGAAUGUGAUUUCAACAUAUAGCUUAUCUAGAUAAUUUCACAGAGGAUUUUGAAAUUAGACCUAGCUGGGAGGAUAACUUUGCUCAGCACAAAACUGAAACAACUAUUGACACCAUGCAUUUUAACUGAGAUUCUUAACAUUUUUUCCUCAUGCCUUGUUACUUUAGUGCUCUUGAACUAGCAUAAAUGCUUCUUUGGAUUGUCUGGGCUAUCUGAUUUCAGUUUGGGUUGGAUUGCCCAUCUUGAAUUCAAUAUAUUAUUUAUCUGGUUUAUUUAAAAAUCAUGCCAUUUCUAGUUUGUGAAAUGAGAUGUAAAAAAAACUUUUAUUUUUGCCAAGUGUUCUUUAGCCAAACGUAUGUUACAUCUUCUAAAAUGUGAAGAAACAACUAAUAUAGAUGGUUGGUGUGUUAAUAGGAAAGUGAAAGUAUUCAUGGGUACAUUGGGCAGAAUGUGGAAAGGAACUUGGCAAGGUGGCCUUUCUGGUGAGGCAUCCAUUUCCUGUCCUCUAAAGUAAGUCUGUAGCUUAGCUUGUAUAUAGUUUUUUAAAAGACAUCCCAUGAUCUUUAUUCACUCUCUUAUAAGAUUAUCUUCUAUCUCGUAUGGCACAAAUAGGGAAGCUAGGAGGAAGUUUAUCACCUCACUAUGCUUUUAUUUAAUUUUUAACUCUUGAGUGCCUAAAUAUGGUGACUGGCACCUCAGCUAACUUUUUGAGAUUCCUGAUGUCAUUUUUAUCCUCCUUCCUGUCAACCAGCAACUUAUUUUUCCAUGCUGAAAUCAGUAAUGUCAUGAUUGUUGAGGGUAAGCUUUGUUGUUGAUAGUGCAAAGUGUUGCUGUUGUGGUGUGUAUUUAUUUUGUCAAAGUUUGAGUCCCCUGUUGGACACGUGUAACUAAGCUGGUGGCUGACACCUAUUGAUUUGCUACUUGCAAAUGAUACUACUAUUUUUCUGAAAACUCAUUCAGUUAAAAAAACAUCAAAAAUAUUUGAAUACAAAAAAAUGAGGUUUUGAAUUCAAAACUUUGUUGUUUUAAGGGUUGCCACAGCACUCUUUAAAUUGGUGGGUUUUGGUGGACAUAUAUACAUAAUAUUUACUUUAUUGGUGUGUUUGAAAUAUUUUUUGAUAGACUGUUAUGUCUUAAGUGCAUUUGAAGGCAAUUGUUUGUAAUGGAACCGAAUUGUUUCCUUGGACAGUUUGAUGUGCAUAUGAUUAAGAUUUAUAAUCUGGUUGUACUUUGCUUUUUAAUUUAUUAACUGUAAAUAAAUUUUAGAGAAUA